rnacentral:rRNA from 1 species
UACGGAAGGGGCGAGCGUUGUUCGGAAUUACUGGGCGUAAAGGGCUCGUAGGCGGCCAACUAAGUCAGACGUGAAAUCCCCAGGCUCAACCUGGGAACUGCGUCUGAUACUGGAUGGCUUGAAUCCGGGAGAGGGAUGCAGAAUUCCAGGUGUAGCGGUGAAAUGCGUAGAUAUCUGGAGGAAUACCGGUGGCGAAGGCGGCAUCCUGGACCGGCAUUGACGCUGAGGAGCGAAAGCCAGGGGAGCAAACGGG